rnacentral:rRNA from 1 species
CAGCAGUAGGGAUCUUCCGCAUGGACGAAAGUCUGACGGAGCAACGCCGCGUGAGUGAUGAAGGUUUUCGGAUCGUAAAACUCUGUUAUUAGGGAAGAACAAAUGUGUAAGUAACUGUGCACAUCUUGACGGUACCUAAUCAGAAAGCCACGGCUAACUACGUGCCAGCAGCCGCGGUAAUACGUAGGUGGCAAGCGUUAUCCGGAAUUAUUGGGCGUAAAGCGCGCGUAGGCGGUUUCUUAAGUCUGAUGUGAAAGCCCACGGCUCAACCGUGGAGGGUCAUUGGAAACUGGGAAACUUGAGUACAGAAGAGGAAAGUGGAAUUCCAUGUGUAGCGGUGAAAUGCGCAGAGAUAUGGAGGAACACCAGUGGCGAAGGCGACUUUCUGGUCUGUAACUGACGCUGAUGUGCGAAAGCGUGGGGAUCAAACAGGAUUAGAUACCCUGGUAGUCCACGCCGUAAACGAUGAGUGCUAAGUGUUAGGGGGUUUCCGCCCCUUAGUGCUGCAGCUAACGCAUUAAGCACUCCGCCUGGGGAGUACGACCGCAAGGUUGAAACUCAAAGGAAUUGACGGGGCCCC